rnacentral:lncRNA from 1 species
ACACAACUUCAAGCUAAUGCCUCGGGCUUAUUUAACAGUAUUAUCAUGUGAAAGACACAGCUGUGGAGAGGCAAAGGAUAGUUUGUGAAUUUGAAACAUUUUGACAUUUCCAGUCAGGACUGAAUAUGCUGAUAAUUCGCAAAAGUCCUGAGCUGUGAAGCAAAAAGAAGGCUUUCAUCAAUCCUGGGGCUAGUCUACUUUCUGGAAUAUGUCCAUUGUAUAAUAUGAGGAAUGAGAAGGGUUAUAUUCUGCAGAAAGUUCUACAGCAUAAUAACAAAUGCAGUAACAGGUGUAUGGCUGUGGUGGAAGCUUGGUC